rnacentral:rRNA from 1 species
UACGGAGGGUGCGAGCGUUGUUCGGAUUCAUUGGGCGUAAAGGGUGCGUAGGCGGCGCGGUAAGUCGGGUGUGAAAUCUCGGAGCUUAACUUCGAAACUGCAUUCGAUACUGCCGUGCUUGAGGACUGGAGAGGAGACUGGAAUUUACGGUGUAGCGGUGAAAUGCGUAGAUAUCGUAAGGAAGACCAGUGGCGAAGGCGGGUCUCUGGACAGUUCCUGACGCUGAGGCACGAAGGUCAGGGGAGCAAACGGG